GUGCCAGCAGCCGCGGUAAUACGUAGGCAGCGAGCGUUGUUCGGAGUUACUGGGCGUAAAGGGUGUGUAGGCGGUUCUUUAAGUUUGGCGUGAAAUCUCCCGGCUCAACCGGGAGGGUGCGUCGAAUACUGAGGGACUAGAGUACGGGAGAGGAAAGUGGAAUUCCUGGUGUAGCGGUGAAAUGCGUAGAUAUCAGGAGGAACACCGGUGGUGUAGACGGCUUUCUGGACCGUAACUGACGCUGAGACACGAAAGCGUGGGUAGCAAACAGGAUUAGAUACCCGGGUAGUCC
rnacentral:rRNA from 1 species